rnacentral:lncRNA from 1 species
AAACUUAAGAGCGUUUAAUUAGUCUUGGCAACAAACAGAAUUAUUUUGUUCUCUCUCCUGAACAAAAUGAAGAAAUAAGUAUGUUCAUUAGAUAUGAUAAGCUGCAUAUUGUGCAAUCUAUAUAAAAGAACUCCAUAUUGUUUGACAACGGCCUAGAAAUUCAACAAUAUAGUCAGAAUUCUAGUAGGAAAAUAUUGGUCAUGGUAUGAUGGACAACUCAAUGAAAACACAAGAUUAGGAACACACCAGUGCAUAAGUAGUAGGCAACGAACGGCAAACUUAAGAGUGCUUAAUUAGUCUUCGCAACAAACAGAAUUAUUUUGUUCUCUCCUGACCAAAAUAAAGAAAUAAUGAUGUUCAUCAGAUAUGAUAAGCUGCAUAUUGUGCAAUCCAUUCAAAAGAGCUUCAUAUUGUUUGACAUCAUCGAUGGCAGGCCAUGAAGGAUUCAUAAAUGAAGCUAACAUCUCUUUAGACUCUGUAUAUGCAGCAAAAUAUAUAUAAAAGGGAACAGCAGGAAACAUCAUAUUACUGUAAAAGACCACCAUCUUAAAAUUCACAAAUGCUCAAAAAAAUAGCGUCAUCAAUAUUCAGCUUAGAUAGAAAUGAAGAACAGAAAAUGUAAAGGAUACUAAACAUGGUAAUAUAAGCUUACAUUCAGCCCACACGAACAGAUAACAAGUGCCACAGCAGUUAGUACUACAUUAAAGCAAAUAUAUAGGGGACUAGGUCAUUCAUACAACUAAGUAUUACACAUUGGACCGCUUGUCGCUUACAAAAUAUCUACGGCUAACCAACAUUGUUCAAAGCCGCGAAAGGCACGCACCGAACGCUAGGGGGACAUAUCCAAACCUUACAAAAUAUCUACGGCUAACCAACAUUGUUCAAAGCCGUGAAGGGCAUGCACCUAAAAAAGCACAAUUUGGAAUGAUAGGACGACAUAUCCAAACCUGUGCCACAGAACUAGAAGAUUAGGCGCACACACAACCAACAACUGAUUUUUACAAAGGCGUUAGUGCCACCACGUUAAGUGCAUGAAGCAGCAGCGACUUUCAGCGA